rnacentral:rRNA from 1 species
GACGAACGCUGGCGGCGCGCUUAACACAUGCAAGUCGAACGGAAAGGCCUGCUUUCCCUUGUGGAUUGCGGGUACUCGAGUGGCGAACGGGUGAGUAACACGUGAGUGAUCUGCCCCCAACUUGGGUAUAAGCCUGGGAAACCGGGUCUAAUUCCCGAUAGUACUGCAGGGUGGUGCCUGUGGUGGAAAACGAUUUUCUAGUGGUUGGGGAUGAGCUCGCGGCCUAUCAGCUUGUUGGUGGGGUAAUGGCCUACCAAGGCGGCGACGGGUAGCCGGCCUGAGAGGGUGGACGGCCACAUUGGGACUGAGAUACGGCCCAGACUCCUACGGGAGGCAGCAGUGGGGAAUAUUGCACAAUGGGCGGAAGCCUGAUGCAGCGACGCCGCGUGGGGGAUGACGGCCUUCGGGUUGUAAACUCCUUUCGACCGCGAGGAAGCCACCUGGUUGGAAGGGUGGUGACGGUAGUGGUAGAAGAAGCACCGGCUAACUACGUG